CCUACGGGAGGCAGCAGUGGGGGAUAUUGCACAAUGGGGGAAACCCUGAUGCAGCGACGCCGCGUGGGUGAAGAAGCGCCUCGGCGCGUAAAGCCCUGUCAGCAGGGAAGAAAAUGACGGUACCUGAGGAAGAAGCCCCGGCCAACUACGUGCCAGCAGCCGCGGUCAUACGUAGGGGGCAAGCGGUAUCCGGAUUUACUGGGUGUAAAGGGGGCGCAGACGGGGAUGCAAGCCAGGAGUGAAAGCCCGGGGCUCAACCCCGGGACUGCUCUUGGAACUGCGUGGCUAGAGUGCAGGAGAGGCAGGCAGAAUGCCUGGUGUAGCGGUGAAAUGCGUAGAUAUCAGGAGGAACACCGGUGGCGAAGGCGGCCUGCUGGACUGCAACUGACGUUGAGGCCCGAAAGCGUGGGGAGCAAACAGGAUUAGAUACCCUAGUAGUC
rnacentral:rRNA from 1 species